ensembl:snRNA U6 U6 spliceosomal RNA
GUGCUUGCUUUGGUAGCACAUAUAUUAUAAUUGGAACAAUACAGAGAAGAUUAGCAUGGCCUCUGCACAAGGAUGGGACAUAAAUUCAUGAAGCAUUCUGUAUUUUU